UACGGGGGGUGCAAGCGUUGUUCGGAAUUACUGGGCGUAAAGCGCGUGUAGGCGGCCUUUUAAGUCUGAUGUGAAAGCCCGGGGCUCACCCCCGGAAGUGCAUCGGAUACUGGGAGGCUCGAGUACCGGAGAGGAGGGUGGAAUUCCUGGUGUAGCGGUGAAAUGCGUAGAUAUCAGGAGGAACACCGGUGGCGAAGGCGGCCCUCUGGACGGAUACUGACGCUGAGACGCGAAAGCGUGGGGAGCAAACAGG
rnacentral:rRNA from 1 species